rnacentral:rRNA from 1 species
AUACGGAGGGUGCAAGCGUUACUCGGAAUCACUGGGCGUAAAGCGCGCGCAGGCGGCUAUUUAAGUUGGAUGUGAAAGCCUACGGCUCAACCGUAGAACUGCAUCCAAAACUAUUUAGCUAGAGUGUGGGAGAGGAAGAUGGAAUUAGUUGUGUAGGGGUAAAAUCCGUAGAGAUAACUAGGAAUACCAAAAGCGAAGGCGAUCUUCUGGAACAGUACUGACGCUGAGGCGCGAAAGCGUGGGGAGCAAACAGGAUUAGAUACCCUUGUAGUCC